AUGUCCCUACGGGAGGCAGCAGUAGGGAAUAUUGCUCAAUGGGGGAAACCCUGAAGCAGCAACGCCGCGUGGAGGAUGAAGGUUUUCGGAUUGUAAACUCCUUUUGUUAGAGAAGAUAAUGACGGUAUCUAACGAAUAAGCACCGGCUAACUCCGUGCCAGCAGCCGCGGUAAUACGGAGGGUGCAAGCGUUACUCGGAAUCACUGGGCGUAAAGAGCGCGUAGGCGGGAUAGCACGUCAGAUGUGACAUCCUAUGGCUUAACCAUAGAACUGCAUUUGAAACUGUUCUUCUAUAGUAUGGGAGG
rnacentral:rRNA from 1 species